AUUGAACGCUGGCGGCAUGCUUUACACAUGCAAGUCGAACGGUAACAGGCCGCAAGGUGCUGACGAGUGGCGAACGGGUGAGUAAUGCAUCGGAACGUGCCCAGUCGUGGGGGAUAACUGCUCGAAAGAGCAGCUAAUACCGCAUACGAUCUAUGGAUGAAAGCGGGGGACCGUAAGGCCUCGCGCGAUUGGAGCGGCCGAUGUCAGAUUAGGUAGUUGGUGGGGUAAAGGCUCACCAAGCCAACGAUCUGUAGCUGGUCUGAGAGGACGACCCGCCACACUGGGACUGAGACACGGCGCAGACUCCUACGGGAGGCAGCAGUGGGGAAUUUUGGACAAUGGGGGCAACCCUGAUCCAGCAAUGCCGCGUGCAGGAAGAAGGCCUUCGGGUUGUAAACUGCUUUUGUACGGAACGAAACGGUCUGGGUUAAUACCCUGGGCUAAUGACGGUACCGUAAGAAUAAGCACCGGCUAACUACGUGCCAGCCGCCGCCGUAAGAC
rnacentral:rRNA from 1 species